ensembl:lncRNA
AUGGCUUUUCUCCAGAGUGCAUUCUUUUGUGUUUCAUUUCCUUCUCCCUCACAGAGAGAUAAGGGAGCAAUGACGCUUCACAGUGUGAGCACUUGUAAGGUCCGGCUUCAGUACAUGGAUUUGAUGGAUAGCUCACUCAGAUGUGCAAGAGUGAAGUUUUGCGUUGCUAUUCUUAUUGUGAAUGAUUCAUCUGUGCAUACUGCCCCUCUUGGAAAUGUGCUGAAGCCCCCUCCCAGCUUCUUGAUUGAGACCCAAAGACUUAUCGUUAUAACUUCAAGAUUUAUUUCUUUAUUUAUUUCUUUGUUUAUUUAUUUAUUUAUUCAUGUUUCUGUUUAUUUUUAAUGUGGUUUCAGACAUUUGAACCCCAUUUUUCACCUCUAAGUUUGAAUCAGAUAUCUAAACAUCAUUGUUUUUAUUAGUCUAAACACACAUUGUGAGCACUAAUGCAUCUACCUCUGUGUGCUUUAAGUCACUGCAUCAUUUCCCACGACACACAACAGAUUUCACUUCAAUCCAGUAAAUAUUUGCAUGCUUUUCGCUGGCAGAAGGACAGCAGACCAUGUAAUGGCUCUGUCCUCUCAAGCGCUAGUCGACAGUGAAACCUAAUGGUACGUGCAUAACUUGCAUAAUGUUACAUGCAGACAAAAACAACUAAGAUGGAUACAAACUGGCCAAGAGAGCAACAGAACAGAUGAAAGGUGGACCUGGUCAUCAAUGACUCUUGUUUAUUUCCGUCCAGGCAAGGAAAUGAGUGAUUGGGAUCUCAGAUUAGCGGCACUAAACAGCUGGGAAUGUUUACACAGGAAAUUAGAUGAUGAUUUUCACUUUCUGUCCCCACUGUGCCAUAUGGAGUGAUGCAUUAGGAUUAUUCUGAGGAUGAAUCACAAUUCAAUGCCUCUAUGAAUUUCAGCAAGACGCUCAUGCAUUAAAAUCCAUUCUGUUAUGAUGCAGCCAGAUGCAGUUUCAUGUUUAUUAGUGUGCUAUCUCAUAUUAAAAACCCAUGUUUCUUUAUCCGAAUUAGACAAUUAGACAUUGCACACCCUACAUCAUGUCCAUCGGAUCCAGUUUUUCCUGCUUUAUACUCUCUCUUUAUACCGCCAUCUGUGCCUUGAAGUCAAUGGCAGCAGAGUGUGCAAAGAUAAGAUGUGAGAGGUUUACAGGUUUUAUUGAACGCUGUACAAACUGGGAAAUCUCAUCCUGAAAUGUGGCAUGACACUUCAGGAGACUCGAUAUGUCACCACAGCAACGGAUCAUCAUCUACACAGCCUGACGGGUCAGAGAACAUCACAUGAACACAGGCCUGACAAAAACACCCAAGGUCAAAGCUCACUGCAGAGGCGUGACAGCAUUGAUAAUUAAAUCCACCCACGGUCUUUAAUAUACCAGAGCUUAAAACAUCUUUUGUAGCAGCGAGCUGCAUGUGGUUAGACACAUUUAGGUUUUUAGACUAUCAAGGUUUUGUUCUUUCAGCUGUGAUGGAAUAGUGCUUUUGAAUCUGACGGACAUGAAUAGCUGAAUGAUGGAGAUACAAGAAUAAAAAAACCUUGUGAAAUUCUCA